rnacentral:rRNA from 2 species
AAAUUGAAGAGUUUGAUCAUGGCUCAGAUUGAACGCUGGCGGCAGGCCUAACACAUGCAAGUCGAACGGUAACAGGAAGCAGCUUGCUGCUUCGCUGACGAGUGGCGGACGGGUGAGUAAUGUCUGGGAAACUGCCUGAUGGAGGGGGAUAACUACUGGAAACGGUGGCUAAUACCGCAUAACGUCGCAGGACCAAAGAGGGGGACCUUCGGGCCUCUUGCCAUCAGAUGUGCCCAGAUGGGAUUAGCUUGUUGGUGAGGUAACGGCUCACCAAGGCGACGAUCCCUAGCUGGUCUGAGAGGAUGACCAGCCACACUGGAACUGAGACACGGUCCAGACUCCUACGGGAGGCAGCAGUGGGGAAUAUUGCACAAUGGGCGCAAGCCUGAUGCAGCCAUGCCGCGUGUAUGAAGAAGGCCUUCGGGUUGUAAAGUACUUUCAGCGGGGAGGAAGGUGUUGUGGUUAAUAACCGCAGC